rnacentral:lncRNA from 1 species
GGAAAAUGCCGAAGGUAGCCGAACGGAAAGGGUGAAUUCGCCUUGUUCGGUGGCUGGCUGGAGGAGACAUUCGACAAUGGCAACAGUGGCCAAUCAGAGUCGCCGGCCCUUACGAAGAGGCUUGAAGAGUUGAGGACGGUGAAACCCAGAGACGCUGGUGAAACUGCACGGCUGGGCGCCGCCGCCGCUUUGUGAUUGGCUGGAAAACUCCGCUGGGAGCGUACCUCCUUCGGUGAUUGGUGAAGAGAAGGGGGCUUCCGAGGACAGUCUGGCCAGUCAGGACUUCCCCUCCCUCUCCAAGGUGGGGAGAAGAAAGCGAAGGGAGGGCGUCUAUAAAGCGCUGUCUCAUUGGCCUGAAGCUUAGGCGCUGGAGUUGGGGCAAAAGGGAGAGGGAGGGAGCCCGAAACUCGCGGCGGCGGCCAAUCGGCUCUCACUGCCGUCCAAUCGCAAGACCUAGCUGCAGUGUGAUUGGCCUUCGGCCCCGGUCCCAGGAGCGGGGAGAUGCCUGACUCGGGUCGUGGCUGACGACCCGACGGUUCGCCUGCGGCCGCCUCCAACAACGGUGGAAACCGCACACAGGGACCGCGGGCCCUCGGUGCAGCAAAUCGGAAAGUGCUGCGGUCGGCGGCCCUGGGCUCUGAGCGCUCAAGCGAGCAGAGGGGUGGAGGGGCUCUCCCCACCCACAGGAGGCUCUCGGCGGGGCGCAGCCAAUUCUGCGCGCCCAAGGCUCCCCUCUGCCGUGGAUCGCGUGUGCCGAGUGUUGGCCUCUUCCCCGAAAGGGCCAGACGGACCAAGGGGGCCUUCCCAGCCGGCUGCAAGCUCUCAGACGCUAAAAUGGGAACAAAGCUUCCAGAAAGGCAGCGCCUUUGGGCGGCCGCGCCCCGCCCAGCCGCGGGGGCCAUUGAUACAGAGGCUUGCUGCGCUUGGUGUGCGCGGCCCGGCCGGGCCUCUGGAAACGCCCAUGAGAAAUGAGCUCAUGCUGGAUGCGCGCGCUCCUUGGGCGCAACUGCCCAGCGCAAAACGGGCCCCGAAAGCAGGUGAGGGGAAAUGCCGUCAGGCCGGAUAUCCUGAAGCCUCCGAGGAAAUGGGGGGGUCAGAGGAGCCCGUGGUAGCUUUGGAUCUUUUGGAACUAGGGUGAUCUAUAAAAGUGCAGCUUGAGAAGAUUUCAUACAUAAGACCAGCGUCCAUUGUUCUACCAUAGAACCAGUUCCUUUGGUCUGCUUUAGAACAGUGAGGUAUGGCUACGUCAAGAUAACAGAGAAAGUAGAACAGACAGUUGCCAUCCUGAUUGUAAUCCAGUGGUGCCUGUAAUUUCUACCUGCAGAGUCAUCUCUUUCUGUUAAGAUGCUGUCUCCAGAAAGCACAUGUUAAAGGACCUAUAUUUGAUCAGAUUACCUGGCUCUUGCUUUGAAACACUGAUGAAGGACUUGGGACAGAACAAAGUGAGUGGAGGACACUUCAAUCUAAAGUGAUCUUAAAGGAGGAGUAGUAGGAUUUGAAGAUGAAGAAAGAAGAGGGGAGGUAAAUUACUUUCCAUCACUUCAAUUUCAACCCAUCAGAUAAAACCUCUCUUUAGUAAACCUGCAUGUGGGUGGAGCUGUAACAGCAAUUAAGGACAGUGUGACUCUGUUCUUCUGACUUUGGGAAAACCAGUUUGGCUGGAACAAAAAGCUGAUAGAGAAGACUAAUGGAAGAUAAGGUUGAAAAGGUUAAAAAAUGGAGGCAACAGCUGGGUACAGUGGCUCACUC